GGUGGUGGCUCAGCGGUAGCUCACUUGCCUAGCAUGCGUGAGGCACUGGGUUCAAUUCUCAGCACCA
rnacentral:tRNA from 1 species